rnacentral:rRNA from 1 species
GACGAACGCUGGCGGCGUGCUUAACACAUGCAAGUCGAACGGAAAGGCCCUGCUUCUUUGGGGUGCUCGAGUGGCGAACGGGUGAGUAACACGUGAGUAACCUGCCCUUGACUUUGGGAUAACUUCAGGAAACUGGGGCUAAUACCGGAUAGGAGCUCCUGCUGCAUGGUGGGGGUUGGAAAGUUUCGGCGGUUGGGGAUGGACUCGCGGCUUAGCAGCUUGUUGGUGGGGUAGUGGCUUACCACGGCUUGGACGGGUAGCCGUCCUGAGAGGGUGACCGGCCACAUUGGGACUGAGAUACGGCCCAGACUCCUACGGGAGGCAGCAGUGGGGAGUAUUGCACAAUGGGCGGAAGCCUGAUGCAGCAACGCCGCGUGCGGGAUGACGGCCUUCGGGUUGUAAACCGCUUUCGCCUGUGACGAAGCGUGAGUGACGGUAAUGGGUAAAGAAGCACCGGCUAACUACGUG